rnacentral:rRNA from 1 species
AUUGAACGCUGGCGGCAGGCCUAACACAUGCAAGUCGAGCGGAUGAGAGGAGCUUGCUUCUCGAUUCAGCGGCGGACGGGUGAGUAAUGCCUAGGAAUCUGCCUGGUAGUGGGGGACGACGUUUCGAAAGGAACGCUAAUACCGCAUACGUUCUACGGGAGAAAGCAGGGGACCUUCGGGCCUUGCGCUAUCGGAUGAGCCUAGGUCGGAUUAGCUAGUUGGUGAGGUAAUGGCUCACCAAGGCUACGAUCCGUAACUGGUCUGAGAGGAUGAUCAAUCACACUGGAACUGAGACACGGUCCAGACUCCUACGGGAGGCAGCAGUGGGGAAUAUUGGACAAUGGGCGAAAGCCUGAUCCAGCCAUGCCGCGUGUGUGAAGAAGGUCUUCGGAUUGUAAAGCACUUUAAGUUGGGAGGAAGGGUUGUAGAUUAAUACUCUGCAAUUUUGACGUUACCGACAGAAUAAGCACCGGCUAACUCUGUGCCAGCAGCCGCCGUAAGAC